AUUGAACGCUGGCGGCAGGCCUAACACAUGCAAGUCGAGCGGUAGAGAGGUGCUUGCACCUCUUGAGAGCGGCGGACGGGUGAGUAAUGCCUAGGAAUCUGCCUGGUAGUGGGGGAUAACGCUCGGAAACAGACGCUAAUACCGCAUACGUCCUACGGGAGAAAGCAGGGGACCUUCGGGCCUUGCGCUAUCAGAUGAGC
rnacentral:rRNA from 1 species